AAAAUUCAAAUGUUUUAGUAGAAGAUAUUUGGAUAGGCGGACGUAUACACACGGUAGACUCGUGUCGAAACGCCUCAAACUUAGUCUUACACGCCACUCUCACAAGCUUCGUCUUCUUCUCUGCGACUCUCUUACUAUUUAUGUGAACAAUAUUUCUCUCUCUUCUCUAAGCUUUUCUCCAUCUUCUUCUUCUUCUCUCUAUAACUGUUUUGUGGUAAGUGUAUCUCUUUGAUCGUGGAGAAUUUGACGUAAAAAUGGCGGCUAUCGGAGUAUAUUCAACUCCAAAAAUGGAAUAUGUUGAAGGACGUUGCAUAAGUUCUAUUCAUUCGUCGACUAGUCUUAAACUAUGGCCUAUGAUUGGGAGAACCGGCUUUCCGAUUCGGAGGAAAAGGUUGGAAGUGAAUUGUUCAUUGCCUAAUACUAUGUCUCCGUUAGAAUCGGAGGAGGAUGCAGCAACCUUAAGUAGCAGUGAUUCCCUAGAGGAUGAGUUCAGCCAUGUGACGAAGUUCAAAAUGUCCGAUUUUAAGAUAAGGAAUCGUGUUAGCAUUGGCCUUGGUGGCAGGGGAGAUGAAAUAGUGUUUGAAGCAAUGGUGAAUGAUCCUCAUAGCCCAUUGUAUAAGACCAGAGUUGUACUUAGACAACUUAUAAGUCCUCGAGCCAAGCGGAGAGGACAUCGUGCAAUAGAGGUGUUGAAGAGACUGGGACGUCGUAAACUCAUGUAUCAUUCGUACUCUAUGCAAGUUCAUGGAUAUAUCUGCUCAUCCAUGAUAGAUGAGAAUAGUUCAUUCACCCUAGUUCAUGGGCAUCAUGGAAGUGCUUCAUUGAGACACUGGCUUCAACGGUCUGACUGGCUUCCAACUCUAGAAGCUACUCUUUCCCUAGAUCAGGAGUCUGUUAGAAGGGUGGGGGAUGAUACUAUAGGAGGGCCAGCUAUUUCCCGGCAACUGCGGCUAAUCCGAAUUUUAAUGAGGGAUCUCUUGAUUGGAGUGAACUAUGUGCACAGCCAUGGCCUUGCACAUACAGAGCUAAGGCUUGAAAAUUUGCACAUUAGCGCGGUGGAUAAACAUAUUAAGGUAGGUAUAUUGGGAAAUGCUUCUGACUUUAAUGAGGCUGAUCCUGCGGAUAACACAUCAUAUGACAAUAUGGAUAGGAGGAGAAUGAUGAUUGCAUUUGACA
rnacentral:misc_RNA from 1 species